rnacentral:tRNA from 1 species
UUCCUGGCAGUCCAGUGGUUAGGACUUAGUACUUUCACUGCCAUGGCCCCAAGGUUCAAUUCCUGGUCGAGGAA